UUCCGGUUGAUCCUGCCGGACCUGACUGCUAUCGGAUUGAUACUAAGCCAUGCGAGUCAUUGUAGCAAUACAAGGCAGACGGCUCAGUAACGCGUAGUCAACCUAACCUAUGGACGGGAAUAACCUCGGGAAACUGAGUAUAAUGCCCGAUAGAACAUUAUGCCUGGAAUGGUUUAUGUUCCAAAUGAUUUAUCGCCGUAGGAUGGGACUGCGGCCUAUCAGUUUGUUGGUGAGGUAAUGGCCCACCAAGACUAUUACAGGUACGGGCUCUGAGAGGAGUAGCCCGGAGAUGGGUACUGAGACACGGACCCAGGCCCUAUGGGGCGCAGCAGGCGAGAAAACUUUGCAAUGUGCGAAAGCACGACAAGGUUAAUCCGAGUGGUUUCUGCUAAAGGAACCUUUUGUUAGUCUUAGAAACACUAACGAAUAAGGGGUGGGCAAGUUCUGGUGUCAGCCGCCGCGGUAAAACCAGCACCUCAAGUGGUCAGGAUGAUUAUUGGGCCUAAAGCAUCCGUAGCCGGCUCUGUAAGUUUUCGGUUAAAUCUGUACGCUCAACGUACAGGCUGCCGGGAAUACUGUAGAGCUAGGGAGUGGGAGAGGUAGACGGUACUCGGGAGGAAGGGGUAAAAUCCUUUGAUCUCUCGAUGACCACCUGUGGCGAAGGCGGUCUACCAGAACACGUCCGACGGUGAGGGAUGAAAGCUGGGGGAGCAAACCGGAUUAGAUACCCGGGUAGUCCCAGCCGUAAACUAUGCAAACUCAGUG
rnacentral:rRNA from 1 species